rnacentral:ribozyme from 1 species
UGGCAGCGGUAGAUACGGGAGUCAGAGGUAUGAAAGUGCAUCAGAAAGCUCUCCCUUUUUUGCGGACGUGAAGAGCGGGUACCUCUCUACCGACGAAAAUGGCUACGUGAGCCAGAGGGGGGAAGGAACUGACAUUUUCGUUCCUCC